rnacentral:rRNA from 1 species
GAUGAACGCUGGCGGCGUGCCUAAUACAUGCAAGUCGAGCGAACGGACGAGAAGCUUGCUUCUCUGAUGUUAGCGGCGGACGGGUGAGUAACACGUGGAUAACCUACCUAUAAGACUGGGAUAACUUCGGGAAACCGGAGCUAAUACCGGAUAAUAUUUUGAACCGCAUGGUUCAAAAGUGAAAGACGGUCUUGCUGUCACUUAUAGAUGGAUCAGCGCUGCAUUAGCUAGUUGGUAAGGUAACGGCUUACCAAAGCAACGAUGCAUAGCCGACCUGAGAGGGUGAUCGGCCACACUGGAACUGAGACACGGUCCAGACUCCUACGGGAGGCAGCAGUAGGGAAUCUUCCGCAAUGGGCGAAAGCCUGACGGAGCAACGCCGCGUGAGUGAUGAAGGUCUUCGGAUCGUAAAACUCUGUUAUUAGGGAAGAACAUAUGUGUAAGUAACUGUGCACAUCUUGACGGUACCUAAUCAGAAAGCCACGGCUAACUACGUG